GACGAACGCUGGCGGCGUGCUUAACACAUGCAAGUCGAACGGUAAGGCCCUUCGGGGUACACGAGUGGCGAACGGGUGAGUAACACGUGGGUGAUCUGCCCUGCACUUCGGGAUAAGCCUGGGAAACUGGGUCUAAUACCGGAUAGGACCCUGGGAUGCAUGUCCUGGGGUGGAAAGCUUUUGCGGUGUGGGAUGGGCCCGCGGCCUAUCAGCUUGUUGGUGGGGUGAUGGCCUACCAAGGCGACGACGGGUAGCCGGCCUGAGAGGGUGACCGGCCACACCGGGACUGGGACACGGCCCAGACUCCUACGGGAGGCAGCAGUGGGGAAUAUUGCACAAUGGGCGCAAGCCUGAUGCAGCGACGCCGCGUGAGGGAUGACGGCCUUCGGGUUGUAAACCUCUUUCAGUAGGGACGAAGCGCAAGUGACGGUACCUACAGAAGAAGGACCGGCCAACUACGUGCCAGCCGCCGCAGUAA
rnacentral:rRNA from 1 species